rnacentral:rRNA from 1 species
UAGGGAAUCUUCCACAAUGGGCGAAAGCCUGAUGGAGCAACGCCGCGUGUGUGAUGAAGGGUUUCGGCUCGUAAAACACUGUUGUAAGAGAAGAAUGACAUUGAGGGUAACUGUUCAAUGUGUGACGGUAUCUUACCAGAAAGGAACGGCUAAAUACGUACCAG